UGCUGCGUGCAGCAAGCCCCUCACCCUCUUCUCCUUCCAGGCAACUGCCUAGAGACUUCAGUAGUGGCGGGCAGUAUACAAAUCUGUCAAAUAAAUAAAUAAAAUUAGUUGCAUAAUUUACAUAAUAUGUAAUUUACAUAAUAUGUAAAUUAUGCCACCCGGAUUUGGGAAGCUUGAAUAUAGCAACCUACUCUGGGCACACUGCAGCCUGCCCUGCUCUCUCUCCCAGUCCCAGCAAUUUAUAUUUCCCCACGCAGCCCAGUGGGAGCUGAUCUUUUUUCCAUUUUCUUUUUUGGUACAGUGCAGGAUCAAUUGAAAGCUGGGGAGAAAGCUGGAAUUUGGCAAGGAAACUGACCUCAUGCAGGAGACAUGCUGUGAAAUCCACAUGUAGCCUACUCUUAAUGGCGACCCAAAGAAGACUGGAUUUCUUGGAUUCAUGAAACAGGCAAAGGGUGGGGCAAAGCCAGGAAGAAGAGCAGGAGUGGAAGCUGCAGUCCCCUACACCAGCACCAGAAAAAGAGUCAUCAUGAUCCAUGAAGGAGACUGAGAACAUGCAGCUACCAUACAGUGCUAGAGUCGAUCAACAUCACUAGCUUGGCAGAAUGCCUACAGCUUCAAGGUUGUCAAAGAAAUAUACAAUUGAUGAACUUUACCAGAGUGAGACACACUUUCUUGGAAGCAAGUUACACUGAAUUCAAUACUUACUUUGAAUAAAUAUGUGUAGGAUCAAGCUAUAUAGAUAUCAACAAGACUAGCAGCAAGAGAACAGACAAUUCAAGCAAUAAUACUCCUCUUCACAGGCAUAUCAUAAUGGAUACAGCCUCUUGUGUGUAAAUAGGAAAGUUUGCAUACAGUACAUUUACCAUGUGUAAAUCUCCACAUGACCUAAACCAUAUCUAAAUAUAUGAAUCAGCAGAAUAUUCCUGUUGAAAUGAGUGCUUUAUUACCAUUUGGCUUGAGGUAAAAUGUAGCACAAUGUGAAGCAGUAAGGCAAUGUUCAUUCUCAAAUAGGAAAUCCACAUAAUGGCCUUCAACCUCACAGAGUACACAGUAUCAAGAAUAUAGGUUAUACAGUAUGCAAAAGUUCUGUGGUUUCCACUACAUUGUUAUUGCCACUACAUCAAUCCUGAUAGAGGCAUGCAGUAUUAGAAAUAUGAGCGCUGGUAGCAUUGCUGAUAAAAACAUGUUAACUGCUAACAGUUUUCAGAGUUCUGUACUAAAAUAAAAAUAAAAUCCUCACCAAAAGAUA